AGACAGUGGUCCCCAUUCCUGGAGCAGGGCCACAUCUCCACAUCUCAGCAGAGACUGGCGACAUUCAGCUCCUCCCCAGUGUUACCAACAUAGGAGCCAAGUCCUUGCCCACGCACCGUCUCACCUCACCAACUUGAGUUCCAUGUUAAUUCUGAUCUUCCGUCCACAAAAUGGUCUUGAUGCCUCAGCCAUCCACGCGUGCUGGACGGUCUCUCCGAUUUCCCCCUUGAGAUCCCUCCGUGCUUCCCAAGCCUGGAGAUCCUACUUCACUUCCGGCCGGGAAGCUUUAUUGUGGCCAUUUCACAGCUGGAAAGGAUGAAAAGCCAGGUCCCCAGACGGCGAGAAGCCAAACCAGGAUUCAGCCCCACACGGAUCUGCGUCCUUCCAGGAAAAAGCCAGAGGCACCACCACCAGGUGGUGACCUGGGAAGCCUCUAGUGAUAACAGAGGCCAAGGUUAGGGUAACGCAGCGGGAAUUGCUGGGGCCAGGAUGCUGGGAAGGGGCAGAUCUGAGUCCUAGGGAAUGCAGGGUCUGGGUGGGCUGGCCAGCCUGGGGAGGGACACACAGAGUUAAGAACUCAUUGCAGUAAAUUAUUUUUAUAGAGUAUCUUAUAAAACUUCCACAAAUAGGAUCUCGUUUGUUCCUCUUCACAGAUUUGGAAAGUCAGUCUCAGCAUCCCCUUGAAUGCAGAUGCUCUGAUUCAAAAGCUGAUGCAUCCCCACCCCUCCCCCACCCCCACCCCCGCCCCCCAU
rnacentral:lncRNA from 1 species